rnacentral:rRNA from 1 species
GUAGUCAUAUGCUUGUCUCAAAGAUUAAGCCAUGCAUGUCUAAGUAUAAGCAAUUAUACAGCGAAACUGCGAAUGGCUCAUUAAAUCAGUUAUCGUUUAUUUGAUAGUACCUUACUACUUGGAUAACCGUGGUAAUUCUAGAGCUAAUACAUGCUAAAAAUCCCGACUCACGAAGGGAUGUAUUUAUUAGAUUAAAAACCAAUGCCCUUCGGGGCUCUUUGGUGAUUCAUAAUAACUUUUCGAAUCGCAUGGCCUUGCGCCGGCGAUGGUUCAUUCAAAUUUCUGCCCUAUCAACUUUCGAUGGCAGGGUCUUGGCCUGCCAUGGUUACAACGGGUAACGGAGGGUUAGGGCUCGACCCCGGAGAAGGAGCCUGAGAAACGGCUACUACAUCCAAGGAAGGCAGCAGGCGCGCAAAUUACCCAAUCCCGAUUCGGGGAGGUAGUGACAAUAAAUACUGAUACAGGGCUCUUUUGGGUCUUGUAAUUGGAAUGAGUACAAUUUAAAUCCCUUAACGAGGAACAAUUGGAGGGCAAGUCUGGUGCCAGCAGCCGCGGUAAUUCCAGCUCCAAUAGCGUAUAUUAAAGUUGUUGCAGUUAAAAAGCUCGUAGUUGAACCUUGGGCCUGGCUGGCCGGUCCGCCUCACCGCGUGCACUGGUUCGGCCGGGCCUUUCCCUCUGGGGAACCCUAUGGUCUUUACUGAUCGUAGCGGGGAACCAGGACUUUUACUGUGAAAAAAUUAGAGUGUUCAAAGCAGGCCUAUGCUCGAAUACAUUAGCAUGGAAUAAUAAAUAGGACGUUUGGUUCUAUUUUGUUGGUUU